rnacentral:rRNA from 1 species
UCGGGAAUUUUGGGCAAUGGGCGAAAGCCCGACCCAGCAACGCCGCGUGAAGGAUGAAGUAUUUCGGUAUGUAAACUUCGUAAGAAUAGGAAGAAUAAAUGACGGUACUAUUUAUAAGGUCCGGCUAACUACGUGCCAGCAGCCGCGGUAAUACGUAGGGACCAAGCGUUGUUCGGAUUUACUGGGCGUAAAGGGCGCGUAGGCGGCAAUUCAAGUCAUCUGUGAAAUCUCCGGGCUUAACUCGGAACGGUCAGAUGAUACUGCUUUGCUAGAGUGCAGAAGGGGCAAUCGGAAUUCUUGGUGUAGCGGUGAAAUGCGUAGAUAUCAAGAGGAACACCUGAGGUGAAGACGGGUUGCUGGGCUGACACUGACGCUGAGGCGCGAAAGCCAGGGGAGCAAACGGGAUUAGAUACCCCCGUAGUCCCUGAGCGGGCUGGCAAGGCGCAU